rnacentral:snRNA from 1 species
UUGAAUUUGUAGCAGUUAGAUCA